UACGUAGGGUGCGAGCGUUGUCCGGAAUUACUGGGCGUAAAGAGCUCGUAGGUGGUUUGUCACGUCGUCUGUGAAAUUCCGGGGCUUAACCUCGGGCGUGCAGGCGAUACGGGCAAUACUUGAGUGCUGUAGGGGAGACUGGAAUUCCUGGUGUAGCGGUGAAAUGUGCAGAUAUCAGGAAGAACACCAAUGGCGAAGGCAGGUCUCUGGGCAGUUACUGACGCUGAGGAGCGAAAGCAUGGGUAGCGAACAGGAUUAGAUA
rnacentral:rRNA from 1 species